UACGUAGGGGGCAAGCGUUGUCCGGAAUUAUUGGGCGUAAAGAGUGUGUAGGCGGCUUGGUAAGUCCGCUCUGAAAGCCAGGGGCUCAACCCCUGGAGGCGGGUGGAUACUGUCAAGCUUGAGUCCGGAAGAGGCGAGUGGAAUUCCCGGUGUAGCGGUGAAAUGCGCAGAUAUCGGGAGGAACACCUAUUGCGAAGGCAGCUCGCUGGGACGUGACUGACGCUGAGACACGAAAGCGUGGGGAGCAAACAGG
rnacentral:rRNA from 1 species